UCACGUUCUCAUCCCACCAUCCCGAACUGAGCGGAGGGGUAGUUCUCGAUUGGGCGGUGGUCAAAGCGGUGCACAGUUUCGCAUGGAUACAGAAAUCUCGAGACACUCCUGCCCCACACGACUCUCCCGAGUUUACACUGGCCGGACUUCCAAGAGCCGGCCAGGACGAGUUCCUGGCAGUUCUUUGUGUCGGUGGCUCCGCGUACUCGACGGCCGGACUACGAGGAAGAUCCACGGCCGCCGUUGCCUCAGCAUCUCGAUUUACGUGGUGCAAGUAUGACCACCGGCAUACAAGGUGCGGGAGUUCCGGAACAUGGAGUUGGGGUGGUCGAUGCAGUCGACGCAGCAGCCGCUGCGGCGGGGGUAGGAGGCGUGGGUUGCGAGCGGGGUGUUGCCGUGCUGGGGAGUUCGCCGAGGACGGCGAGCCUAGAUGGCCGGGGCACCUAUCUGGGGAGGCGAGCGUGCUGGGGUAAUUCUCCAGGGUCGGCGGCUAUCAUUGCUGGCCGCCCGGAUAUCUGGAGAGGCACGCUGCUGGCUCGGUGGUGCUCAUCCAAAUUUAACCGGAUGUUUCUCCAAAUUUCAUUACCGGUGAAACUAGACGAGGCUAGCCCAUCCGCCCCUUCUCCUCCUCCGGUGAUGUUCCGCGGUCACCCCCCGAGCUCGCCUACCCGGAUCGAGCCAGCCCGAGCUUCCCGUUCGCCGGGCCAACCUGUCUCCUCCCGCCAUGCCUUCUUCACUGACCUGCACCACUGGGAGUUGCACGAUCUCUCCCAUGACUUGCUCCACCGGCAACCACACCCAGGGGCUGGAGUUUAAGCUCCAUCUCCAGGGGCAGAUAUUCAGGUUCAAGCUCCAUCUUUAGGGGCGGAUGUUCAAGUUCAGGUACUCCAUCGUGCCUCUUGUGGAGUGCUCCAUCAAAGUCGAGGUCUGCACCUAUGGUUUUGAUUUUUUGGUUGAAUUCUGACGUUAUCCUAUGUUUUUAUCAGGUAUUCUUCUUGAUUUUUGGUUGAUUUCUGUUGUUAUUCCCAGCUUUCGCAGUGUUAUGGUUCCCUUCUUGUGAUUGUUUAUGAUAGGGGGCGCUGAAAGACUGGAAUGACAUAUGGCUGGUCAGUUUGCCAGGCCACUAACAUAGUAGGUUGGUUCAUAGUUUUGGAGGUAAUGGAGUUUGUUGGGAAAUGUUAGUACCACUUUAUUGAAUCCUCAGUUAUUGGAAACAACAUUCUGCAUUCCGACAGGUAACAUCUUAGGGGUGUUCAUGUUGCAUUGUGUGAAUGAGGUAUUUUACAGCCCCUUUUUGAUGUUUGGAUGUAUCACCAAAAUAUAUUCUCUAGGGCGUUCUAUUUAUAUUCAAGGAAGAUAAGUUCCUCUAAAGUUCAUGUUUUCGUGUGGCUUUUGCAUUACAGCAAAUUGGUCAUUGGGUAUUGUGUAGGUUGGAGGCAAUAUAUUACUGACUCAGUAGAUUACUUUUAUUAGGACUAAAUUUACCCAUGCCUCGCUUUUUAGCUGUAGUGCUAAUUUACAGUAACAGGGCACAACUUGAUGAUCCUGAUCUGAUGGAGCAUUUUAUUUCUGGACUGCAGAUCACGGUACACCGCCGCCAACAGGAUGACCUGCGAGUUCUGCAACCUCACGUCAAGCUUGGCCGCCAGGGUACAGCUGCCGGUGGUCGUGUCCCAGUCCAACUACUACAGACAGCGAACGGACCUGCAGAAAAAGAUUGGAAGUCCUAUUGCAGUGUGAUUAAAUGGAAAUCGGUACCAAAACAAGAUAUCCCAUAUUUAGCAAUGUAUCCUAUAAUCAAUCUUUUACAUAUUUGAAAGUGGUUAUGAGAUUUUGUUUUCUGCAUACUAUCUCUGUGAUAUGACGUGCAUAACCUGGAGUGAAUGUGCAGUUCUUUUCACUGUCUGCAUUGAUAUUUAGUAUUGUUUUCAUGCUAUCAUAGACUACUUGUCUGCCUUUCCAUCGUAUUUCAUCACAGUCAUUCUGCUGUUAAUAGAAUACGUGGCUUCUGACUGUAUGGAAGUUUCUUAUGGAGAAGUAGUAGCUUUAUUAUUUGCGACCUGUUAAAUAGAUAGUGAUAUCGUCCCCUUACAUUCAAGUGAUUCAACUGUUAUGAUAACUCUUACUGUUGUAGGCUCACUAAGCGCAGCUUAGGGAACAUCAUCAAUCUAUUCAAAAUAAUAAUGAAGGUAUCUUCGUAUGCAUUUUCUAUCCCUUUCAGUACAAUACUCCAUAUUCACAUGUUCCCUGUGUUUAGAUCACAAAUACUUAUCUAAAUAUAUUCCAAAAAACGGAUUACAAGGUACUGAUCAUCAUGCACAGUGAUUUCUCCAUUUUCUAGACUUUCGUUUUCCUUCUGGAAGCAAGGGAUUCAUGUAAUUACUUUUUGACAUGCUGAUGCAUCGCUGCAGUUUCAAUUCUUCCUUUGUACUCAGUUAGGGACUUAGGUCUACAAGGAGAUCAAAUAUUGCUUAGAGCUCUGAAUUGGUGUGCAUGUAGUAUAAUAAAGUGGUUCUUGAAUUUUACAUAUAUCCUCGCUUGGGGUUGAGUAAAUCGAUAAAAAUAUGCUUUUCUUUUUUGCUUUAUCUCUUUCUUUAGUGGUUGAAUUCAGAAGAUAAAAUACCCAUCUGCCACUGGCAUCUGGACUUUGUUAUGCGAUAUACAUUUGGUUGUGGCUCAGUUUCAAAUACUGAGUAAUUUGUUUAGAAGGGAGCUUGGCAAUUUUAGCGAGGCCUGAAGAGAGUGUUCAUAUGUUACAGUUGUAUCAUGAAAUCUGAAUCUGAAGUUUUGAAGCUCAGUUUGAAUGAAGGCUGCAAAGAAUAGAUAGACAGAGAAAUCGCUAACUUAGGUAUCUUUCACUCUACGGAACUUCUAUUCGAUAGCAUAAUAUCAAGUAGAAGGUGCCAAUUCUCGCAAAAAAAAAAGUAGAAGGUGCCAAGGCAGUGAGCUUGACAGCAAAAAGAUUCUAUUGGAGGUUCUGCUGUUAUAUACAGGUAUCCUCCCUUGCUUUAAAGUCAGUGAUGGAGAAGUUAGAAAAAACAAUGCACUGGCUAACAUAUAAACUAUACCAUCAUUUAUGUAUUCAGAAACAAUGUGAUAUUUCUGGAAUCCAUGUGCUAUAGUUUAUAUCCAUGAUAUUUAUGUUUAAUUGUAUAUCAAGUACUUUAUGUUUCCUACUUAUCUCUGUUAAUACAUCAAGAGCGUAUAAUUUCGUUUUCUGUAUGGUCAACUUUGUCAACUGCCCUCAUAUUAGAAAUUUCAGCAUCUGAACUUUAGGCGUGUUCAAAAUACAACUUCUAGGAAACUAUUUUCUGACCAAGUCAAGCAUUUCAGGUAAGUCGUCCUUGAACCUUCAUAUAUCCACUCAUCUUCUCCAAGCUCAAGUGUUCGCUACAUGAGUGUCAUUUGCCAUUGCCUCAGCACUUCACUUAUUUCACUAACUAUACAGGGUUGCACAGAGGCUCUAGGGAGUAAGAUUUGCUUUUGUUGGUGAUCGACUGCACAUGCACGUUGCUGUCCAGUUGUUAACAGUUUACUUGGUCCACUUUACUAAUACACAGACCCCAUGACAUAUAUGCUUAUGUUCAUCACUACACAGUAUUAAAAAAUGGUGUACCCUAUUUCGUAAACCUCAAGUUUUAAGUGGAAAAGCACCUCUUUACUGUGAUGACUCAGGGUAGGAAGAAAAACCGGCUCAGAAGUUUUGGUGUUCAUGCCUGAGUGGACAUGCUACCACAAACUGUGAUAAUUCUCAUCCUGGUUCAACAAGUGUGAUUUCGAUUUUGUUGCUUGGAUCGGCAGAAGCUGCCUACAUUUAAAUUUCCAUGGUGCAGAGGUCUCUGACUUGCAUGUUUAUGCUCUCAUGUGGAAUAAACAAUUAAUGCAACAUCAGAUUUUUAUUCUUACAAGGAUGUGGUAUCGCAUCGAGGCUACGGGUAAGCCCUCUCUCCGACCAUGCAGGGUUAUGGAGGUCAUCUUAUAACUUUUGAUUUCUUAAUCCAGGUCAAGAACCAUCUCGCUUUUAACGAAGAUUCAUGAUUGUUGCAUCCGUACAAUUAGCCUAUUUUCAUGAUGUUUGCCUCCAUGUCUUUCCUUAAAGGGGGUCUUCUAUUGUUCUCUCCUGUCGCUUGAAGAUGUUGCAGCUACUAACCAUGCCCAGAACAUUAUUAAUUGGCCUUCAGUGUUUCUAUUCUAGAGUAUCUUGCGUUGGCAUUGCCUCAAUAUUAUCUACAAUCCCUUCUUAGAACACACUGGUUAAAAGCAAAUUGAGGAUAUGAACCAAAUAGCCUCCAACAAACCUCAUCUAUUGCCUAUUAUCUUAAUAUACCAGUGUGAUUCAACCACCAACAAUGUGCACUCUUUGAAAACACUGCUAUGAAGAGCUUUUAUUCCCCAAAUUCUUCCAAGCAAGUUGUUCCUUCUUUGUUUUCCGAAACUGCAAUGUAGGUGAGCGAAAUAUUUUGGUCCUAAGGUGUUAUGUGUUCAUUGUUCCACGUUUUCUUAUAUAUCCUUCAGAAGGAUGAUAAUGUACCUUUGGGUAGGCACUAAACAUUUCUUCAACUAAGAAAGUUGUUACCAAUUUGAUUUUCCGAGCCUGCAUUACGAAGAGGUCUCCGUUAUUUCAGUUCUUUAUUGACUAGAUAUUUUCACUUUAGAGUUUUGUAUGAUAGAGGUUAGCUCCCUAAUUUGGCUAUAAUAACUAAGGUGUGCUAUUGUCCUACUGGUUGGUGUUUUACAGGUUUAGGACCACCUUAAACUCCGAGGACUCUGCUCCAGUGUUCCAUGGCACUGAUGGUGUGCAUCAUAUGUUAAAUGGAGCAGAGUCUCUUUUUUCUUGCAGCCACCACCUGAACUUCAUCUCCACCAGGCCAAAAGCAAGGUCAGCCCCGGCCAAAAGCAAGGUCAGCCCCGGGCUCUGCCCACACCCUUCUGACGCUAGAGCACUCCACGGACGGCAACAACAGCACCGUCGUGGGACCGUCUUUGGAAGAAAAUUGUCAUUAUCUACCACUGAUUUUGCCUACAAACAACGGUAUGGCUCAGAGUCCCUAGCCAGACCGCUCAUCUACUGCUAAUUAAGGUAAUAUAUAUACACAAGCACCAUCUGGCUGAAGCCAGUAUAAACAAGGAUCGGCACCAUGUAAAAUAGUUCACUAGAACAAUGCACCGGCCCCGUCUAGCUUUGCCCAGUAUACGGGCUCCGGUUAGCCCCACUAUGUAAUCGAAUGUAAAUAUGAACGCUGCUUCUCUAUCUCUUCUACUUUGUACUACAAUCAGUUUUCAGCAAUGCAAAUGGCUUCCUUACUCCUGCCUCUUGAAUGUAAAGCUACAAGAACAGAAGCAAAGCAAAUGAUUUCCUAACUGCUGUCUCUUGAAAUUUCUACGUGAAUCACUUCAUAGCAAGGACACACGGCCCUAACGAGGAGCGAAACUACUGCUUGACCACACAAUGUAAACAUUCUUCUUCUUCAGAUGAAACAACCUCCACGCUGUAUCAAAAUGACACUACAACCCAAAUAACACGGGCUAACGGGCGCGGCGUGCCGCCGCGCCUAUGCCUCCUAGUACCCUAUAUAAAAGCUAAACACUUUAGCGUGCUAAUAACGACCGGGCCACUGUAGAUGGGCUAUUUAUCCUCCCUUUGAUCCAGUUCUGGUGCGACGCGUGGAUUGUUUUUUCUUCACCUCAUUGAUUCACUCGAUCUCUUCUCUUUUUAUUUCCUCAUUUUCUGCCGGAGUGGUUACCGGUUACCGGUUUGCUAGACUCUUUCCUUCACACUGAUGAGAUUUUCUUCCGGUAAUUGCGUACCUGCCGUUUACCGCGGUCAAGCGGUGGGUUGGAUCGGUGCUAUGCCACGUUAUUUUCUCCUAGCCUACGUAUUUCUCUGGAAGACAUUACGUGUCGGUGUCUUCCACCUUCUCUCCGCUAAUUUCUCUUUCCUAAUUUCUUGCUAUGGCAUCGCAUGAGAAAGUUUCUGGGCGUUCCCUUAUGGUCAUCGGCUCACUGCGCCUCUUUUUUCCCACGCCCACGCCCCCUCCCCCCACCUCCCCGUCGUCCGAUCCGGUCGUCUUGCCCGUCAUCGCCCUAAGCGGCCGCCAUGGAUCCCCUCACGCUGGUGGUGCCCAAUACAGGGGCGAUGAAUACGUUCAAGGAGGAUCUCUAACUGGAGAUGCAGAUGGGAGAAAAUGAGUUGGUGGACGAGGGAGAGGAAGAGGAGGAUAUGGAGCCGGUGCUUCCUCCUUCUGUUAUUUCCUCUUCCUUCAAUCCUGCAAUUGGUAGUUCAAGUGUGAGCGUACGUCCCUGCAACUCUCUGUGAUGUUGAUGCAAAGAUCAGGCUGGGUGAACGUUUGGUUAUUGAUGAUUCUACUGGUGGCAUCUCUGUUGGAGGGCUAAUACUGAUUACAGUCCUUUUACAGUUUUACGUCCCGUCUUUUAUUUAUUUGCGAUGGGAAGCUCUUCCUGGACUCUGUCAGAUCGUCUUGCUGGUAUGGGCUUUCCGUUUUAGAUGGAGCAUACAUUUCAGAAAAUGGUUUCUACCGGAAGUGGGAACCGUGUGUGCACAACCAGGUGGAGGGGUCAGUCCAAUAGCUCACUGCCUUUGGAUCAGAGUAUAGAACGAUGGUCACUGUCAAAAGUUCAGAAUCAAGUAGUACCACCUUCAAAGAAAAAGUUAAGAAUCAUGAGGUCACUUCAAGAGAAGUUCAGUAAGAAAUCUCAGCAAAGACUCGCCUACUGGAACUAGGAGAUUCCAAGAUCAGCCAAGUUUCUAAAUGAAUAAUAAAAGUAGGAAAAUAUAGGUUGCUUGCAUUUAUGUGGGUACGCUGACCUUACACAUGUCAAUUGCUAGAAUUGGAGCAUCUUAAGAUGGUCCUUGGUUUUGUUUGAGCUUAUUUAAAUUGUUUAUGCAGUCUCCUUUGUAUGGGUUAUCAAAGUGUAGAAAAGAGUAUGUUAAAGCCAAGAAAUGAAGAUCUGCUACUUGAGUGAUGAUAAAAGACUUAAAAGUUGAAUAAUGACCUGAGGAGGAAACAACUCAAUGUACACUUCCAUUUUUCAUUAACCAAGUUUGCCACAUAGUUUUACUGUAAGAUCCAAUAGGACCUCUUGCAGCUACUAUUUUGCAUCUGUUUCCGUUGACAUAUAUUCAGCAUCCCAUAAAUUCGUGUUAAUUCCUUGACCGGUGUUUCAGAUAUUUGCCUUCAAAUUACAGAAUAUUGCAGUGGAGAAAUAUUGCGAACAAACUGUGGGUGGGCGAUGGCUCCACCUUAUGCAUUUCUGUCACAUUUUAUGUGGCAGAUUUGAUUAGCAUUAUGUUUCUCCAAAAUCUGGAGUUAACAAUACAACAGAUAAGAAAACAGGGGAUGACAUACAUAUUGGACAGAGACACGCACUUUGAAUGGUCGUCAUAUUCUGGGAAGCCAGUGCAAUAUUCUUUUUUUUAUAUUUGGAGAAUUGGUUUCAUACUAAUGUAUGCAACCAGGUGGAUGGAAGAAAUCGAUCAAUGUCUGAGUUUUGAUUUUUUGUCUCAGAAAAUUCGUUUUCACUGUCAGAAUCAGCUGAGUUGUUCCUUCCAAAAUGGUAUCAUUGGAAUCAGGCCCAGAGGCAUUCCUGUGAAAAUACAUAGCUGAGGGCUUCUGAUUCUAAUUGAACAUGCCAUCUUGCUAUCCAAUCUCCAGGCCACACAACAAUACAUUGAAUCCUCUUCUAGGAAAAUACGUUGGCUUCUCUUCCAAGAAAAUGUAAGAAGAAAUCCAGCAACGAGAUGGACUUUCCGCGCCAGGACUAGAUACUCUAGCCAUCAUGCCUGGGUUCUUCACGCCGUGCCAAUUGAAGAAACUUCGACUGAUGUUGGUGAAGGGGGAUUGCUAGCCAUGAUCAUCACAAGGUUUUUAACACAAUCUUCUAAUGUACGACAACUAAACCAUUGUAUGAUGCAGUGUAAAUCAGGGUCUUUCGUAAAAUCAAGCUUUUAUGGUCAAA